GACGAACGCUGGCGGCGUGCCUAACACAUGCAAGUCGAACGGAGCAGAUCCCUUCGGGGGUUUGCUUAGUGGCGAACGGGUGAGUAACGCGUGAGGAACCUGCCUUUCAGUGGGGGACAACAGUUGGAAACGACUGCUAAUACCGCAUAGGUGUAGAGAUCGCAUGAACUCUAUAUGAAAAGUGCUACGGGACUGGUAGAUGAUGGACUUAUGGCGCAUUAGCUGGUUGGUAGGGUAACGGCCUACCAAGGCGACGAUGCGUAGCCGACCUGAGAGGGUGACCGGCCACACUGGGACUGAGACACGGCCCAG
rnacentral:rRNA from 1 species